AGUUUGAAUGGAGUAAUGAGUACUGCUAAUUCCUCACCCCCGUGGUUCAAUUCCCCGGCUAACUCGA
rnacentral:tRNA from 1 species